rnacentral:rRNA from 1 species
AACGAACGCUGGCGACAUGCCUAACACAUGCAAGUCGAACGAGACCUUCGGGUCUAGUGGCGCACGGGUGCGUAACGCGUGGGAACCUGCCCUUAGGUUCGGAAUAACUCCCCGAAAGGGGUGCUAAUACCGGAUAAUGUCUUCGGACCAAAGAUUUAUCGCCUUUGGAUGGUCCCGCGUUGGAUUAGCUAGUUGGGAGGGUAAAAGCCUACCAAGGCGACGAUCCAUAGCUGGUCUGAGAGGAUGAUCAGCCACACUGGGACUGAGACACGGCCCAGACUCCUACGGGAGGCAGCAGUGGGGAAUAUUGGACAAUGGGCGAAAGCCUGAUCCAGCAAUGCCGCGUGAGUGAUGAAGGCCUUAGGGUUGUAAAGCUCUUUUACCCGGGAUGAUAAUGACAGUACCGGGAGAAUAAGCUCCGGCUAACUCCGUG